CCCUAUGAAGUCUUAUACCAUAGGCCUCCUCCCCUACUUUGGGCACUCCUAGAAACUCCUCAGGAGUGGGGAGAGAUUGAGUUAGGAUGCUAGUUACCAGCCCUAAGGAGAAUCACUUAGGAUACCUCAACCUAAGUAAAUAACAAAUGUCCUCUAAGUCUUUUUCUCCCCAAUUCACCCUUUCUCACUAGGUAAUCAUGUGUGGAUAAAGGACGGGAGUACAGCCCCUCUAAAGCCACAAUGGAAAGGACCUCAGACCUGAUCCUGACCAAUCCCACAGCAGUGAAGGUAGAGGAAAUCCCAGCCUGAAUCCACCACAGCUGUGUAAAAACCAGCAACAGCUGAGACUUAGACCAAGGAAAGGACUGCAGAAUCACCUUAAAAGGACAACAAGCCUUGCUCCAGCCAUGUCCUGGAAGCUGGCUGGUCCACGCAUGGCCAAAGCAUGAGGAGAUUCAUCAUGGGACUCAUUCUUCUUAAUAUUUGGACUUGCACACAUUUCUCUAUUGAGAUUGAAGAUAUGAGGUGGAAGGGAAAAAGAAGAUGGCAUGGUAGAAGAAACUCAGGAUUGCAGCUCUAAGUGAAGACACAGAGGGGACUUAAAAUAGCUUACAAUAGCUUGGGAUUCAUCUAAGCAAACAGAGAAGGCACAAGACUCUUUUCUGGGGAGAAACCUGUUUUUCUUUAUGGAAUCCCAAGAUUGGGUAAGUAGUCAAGUUUGUCUCAGGUCAUAAAGUACUAGCUUUUGUAUUGUGUUACCAGAUUUUUUGACUAAAAUAGUUAUUACAACAGAGGCUAUUCUUGGGUUUUUAAGAAAGUGUGUAGUUUAGACACUUAGAAAGGUCUUUGUUAAUUUUUUUUGUAAAGUGCACUGUGAAAGCAUCAUGGUCUAGUCUCAUAAUAAUUCUACCUUGUUGGAGACCCAGAAUUCAGUGCAGGCUCUGCCCAGAGCUCAGAGUUCCAGUUAAAAGAUAGGUAGUCGGGAGGAGGGGACUCAAGAUGGCGCUGUGAGAACAACCCAGGAUUGGAGC
rnacentral:lncRNA from 13 species